rnacentral:rRNA from 1 species
AUUGAACGCUGGCGGCAUGCCUUACACAUGCAAGUCGAACGGCGGCGGGGGAGAAGCUUGCUUUUCCUGCCGGCGAGUGGCGAACGGGUGAGUAAUACAUCGGAACGUGCCCUGUAGUGGGGGAUAACUAGUCGAAAGAUUAGCUAAUACCGCAUACGACCUGAGGGUGAAAGUGGGGGACCGCAAGGCCUCAUGCUAUAGGAGCGGCCGAUGUCUGAUUAGCUAGUUGGGGGGGUAAAGGCCUACCAAGGCGACGAUCAGUAGCUGGUCUGGGAGGACGAUCAGCCACACUGGGACUGAGACACGGCCCAGACUCCUACGGGAGGCAGCAGUGGGGAAUUUUGGACAAUGGGCGAAAGCCUGAUCCAGCAAUGCCGCGUGUGUGAAGAAGGCCUUCGGGUUGUAAAGCACUUUUGUCCGGAAAGAAAUGGCUCUGGUUAAUACCUGGGGUCGAUGACGGUACCGGAAGAAUAAGGACCGGCUAACUACGUGCCAGCCGCCGCCGUAA